AAUGAACGCUGGCGGCGUGCUUAACACAUGCAAGUCGAACGAUGAUUAAGAGCUUGCUCUUAUGAUUAGUGGCGCACGGGUGAGUAAUAUAUAGGUUACGUGCCUCUUAGUCUGGGAUAGCCACUGGAAACGGUGAUUAAUACUGGAUAUUCCUGUUCGCAGGGAAAGGUUUUUCGCUAAGAGAUCGGCCUAUACUGUAUCAGCUUGUUGGUGAGGUAAGAGCUCACCAAGGCUAUGACACAUAGCGGGUUUGAGAGGAUGAUCCGCCACACUGGUACUGAGACACGGACCAGACUCCUACGGGAGGCAGCAGUGAGGAAUAUUGCACAAUGGGGGAAACCCUGAUGCAGCAACGCCGCGUGGAGGAUGACGCAUUUCGGUGUGUAAACUCCUUUUAUCAGAGAAGAACAUGACGGUAUCUGAUGAAUAAGCUCCGGCUAACUCCGUGCCAGACAGCCGCAGGUAAUACGGAGGGAGCAAGACGUUAUUCGGAAUCACUGGGCGUAAAGGACGCGUAGGCGGGUUU
rnacentral:rRNA from 1 species